GACGAACGCUGGCGGCGUGCUUAACACAUGCAAGUCGAGCGGUAAGGCCCUUUCGGGGGUACACGAGCGGCGAACGGGUGAGUAACACGUGGGUGACCUGCCCUCAGCUCUGGGAUAAGCCUGGGAAACCGGGUCUAAUACUGGAUAUGACUCCAUGACGCAUGUUGUGGGGUGGAAAGCCUUGUGCGGCUGAGGAUGGGCCCGCGGCCUA
rnacentral:rRNA from 1 species